GCCACUGCUAUCAGAGUUCGAUUAAGCCAUGCGAGCCGAGAGGUGCAAGACCUCGGCAUAYUGCUCAGUAACACGUGGACAACCUAACCUAUGGAAGGGGAUAACCCCGGGAAACUGGGGAUAAUACCCUAUAGACUAUGGAAGCUGGAAUGCUCUGUAGCCGAAAGGUCCCCCGCCAUAGGAUGGGUCUGCGGCCGAUUAGGUUGUUGUUGGGGUAACGGCCCAACAAGCCUGUAAUCGGUACGGGUUGUGGGAGCAAGAGCCCGGAGAUGGAUUCUGAGACACGAAUCCAGGCCCUACGGGGCGCACCAGGCGCGAAAACUUUACAAUGCGGGAAACCGUGAUAAGGGAACUCUGAGUGCCCGUAAAAUCGGGCUGUCCAUCAGUUUAAAAAACUGGUGAAGAAAGGGCCGGGCAAGACCGGUGCCAGCCGCCGCGGUAAUACCGGCGGCUCGAGUGGUGGCCACUAUUACUGGGCUUAAAGCGUUCGUAGCUGGUUUGUUAAGUCUCUGGGGAAAUCUUCCGGCUUAACCGGAAGGCGUCUCAGGGAUACUGGCAGACUAGGGACCGGGAGAGGUGAGAGGUACUCCAGGGGUAGGAGUGAAAUCCUGUAAUCCUUGGGGGACCACCUGUGGCGAAGGCGUCUCACCAGAACGGCUCCGACAGUGAGGGACGAAAGCUGGGGGAGCCAACCGGAUUAGAAACCCGGGUAGUCCCAGCUGUAAACGAUGCGCGUUAGGUGUAUCGGUGACCACGAGUCACCGAGGUGCCGAAGAGAAAUCGUGAAACGUGCCGCCUGGGAAGUACGGUCGCAAGGCUGAAACUUAAAGGAAUUGGCGGGGGAGCACCACAACAGGUGGAGCCUGCGGUUUAAUCGGACUCAACGCCGGGAAACUCACCAGAUAAGACAGCUGAAUGAUAGUCGGGCUGAAGACUCUACUUGACUAGCUGAGAGGAGGUGCAUGGCCGUCGUCAGUUCGUACUGUGAAGCAUCCUGUUAAGUCAGG
rnacentral:rRNA from 1 species